rnacentral:rRNA from 1 species
UACGUAGGAGGCGAGCGUUGUCCGGAAUUACUGGGCGUAAAGCGCGUGUAGGCGGCCCGGUAAGUCCGCUGUGAAAGUCGGGGGCUCAACCCUCGGAUGCCGGUGGAUACUGUCGGGCUAGAGUGCGGGAGAGGCGAGUGGAAUUCCUGGUGUAGCGGUGAAAUGCGCAGAUAUCAGGAGGAACACCAAUUGCGAAGGCAGCUCGCUGGAACGUAACUGACGCUGAGACGCGAAAGCGUGGGGAGCAAACAGG